UAACGCGUAGGUAACCUACCUGGUAGCGGGGGAUAACUAUUGGAAACGAUAGCUAAUACCGCAUAAAAUUGAUUAUUGCAUGAUAGUCAAUUAAAAGGUGCAAUUGCAUCACUACCAGAUGGACCUGCGUUGUAUUAGCUAGUUGGUGGGGUAAAGGCUCACCAAGGCAACGAUACAUAGCCGACCUGAGAGGGUGAUCGGCCACACUGGGACUGAGACACGGCCCAG
rnacentral:rRNA from 1 species